rnacentral:rRNA from 1 species
AUUGAACGCUGGCGGCAUGCCUUACACAUGCAAGUCGAACGGCAGCACGGGUGCUUGCACCUGGUGGCAAGUGGCGAACGGGUGAGUAAUACAUCGGAACGUACCUUAUCGUGGGGGAUAACGCAGCGAAAGUUGCGCUAAUACCGCAUACGCCCUGAGGGGGAAAGCGGGGGACCGUAAGGCCUCGCGCGAUUAGAGUGGCCGAUGUCUGAUUAGCUUGUCGGUGAGGUAAAAGCUCACCAAGGCGAUGAUCAGUAGCUGGUCUGAGAGGACGAUCAGCCACACUGGGACUGAGACACGGCCCAGACUCCUACGGGAGGCAGCAGUGGGGAAUUUUGGACAAUGGGGGCAACCCUGAUCCAGCAAUGCCGCGUGAGUGAAGAAGGCCUUCGGGUUGUAAAGCUCUUUUGUCAGGGAAGAAACAGCAGCUCUAACACAGUCUGCGAAUGACGGUACCUGAAGAAUAAGCACCGGCUAACUACGUGCCAGCCGCCGCCGUAA